GCCAGUGAGGCAGAGUGGCUUAGGUGCUGGACUGCCACUCUGGAGACCAGGGUUUGAUUCCCCACUCGGCCA